UCUGAUUAGCUAGUUGGUAGGGUAAAAGCCUACCAAGGCAUCGAUCAGUAGCUGGUCUGAGAGGACGACCAGCCACACUGGGACUGAGACACGGCCCAGACUCCUACGGGAGGCAGCAGUGGGGAAUUUUGGACAAUGGGCGCAAGCCUGAUCCAGCAAUGCCGCGUGAGUGAAGAAGGCCUUCGGGUUGUAAAGCUCUUUUGUCAGGGAAGAAACGAUCCGAUCUAAUACAUUGGGUUAAUGACGGUACCUGAAGAAUAAGCACCGGCUAACUACGUGCCAGCAGCCGCGGUAAUACGUAGGGUGCAAGCGUUAAUCGGAAUUACUGGGCGUAAAGCGUGCGCAGGCGGUUAUGUAAGACAGAUGUGAAAUGCCCGGGCUUAACCUGGGAACUGCAUUUGUGACUGCAUGGCUAGAGUGUGUCAGAGGGGGGUAGAAUUCCACGUGUAGCAGUGAAAUGCGUAGAUAUGUGGAGGAAUACCGAUGGCGAAGGCAGCCCCCUGGGAUAACACUGACGCUCAUGCACGAAAGCGUGGGGACCAACAGGAUUAGAUACCCUGGUAGUCCACGCCCUAAACGAUGUCUACUAGUUGUCGGGUCUUAAUUGACUUGGUAACGCAGCUAACGCGUGAAGUAGACCGCCUGGGGAGUACGGUCGCAAGAUUAAAACUCAAAGGAAUUGACGGGGACCCGCACAAGCGGUGGAUGAUGUGGAUUAAUUCGAUGCAACGCGAAAAACCUUACCUACCCUUGACAUGUCAGAGAGCUCGAAGAGAUUUGAGUGUGCUCGAAAGAGAAUCUGAACACAGGUGCUGCAUGGCUGUCGUCAGCUCGUGUCGUGAGAUGUUGGGUUAAGUCCCGCAACGAGCGCAACCCUUGUCAUUAGUUGCUACGAAAGGGCACUCUAAUGAGACUGCCGGUGACAAACCGGAGGAAGGUGGGGAUGACGUCAAGUCCUCAUGGCCCUUAUGGGUAGGGCUUCACACGUCAUACAAUGGUACAUACAGAGGGCCGCCAACCCGCGAGGGGGAGCUAAUCCCAGAAAGUGUAUCGUAGUCCGGAUUGGAGUCUGCAACUCGACUCCAUGAAGUUGGAAUCGCUAGUAAUCGCGGAUCAGCAUGUCGCGGUGAAUACGUUCCCGGGUCUUGUACACACCGCCCGUCACACCAUGGGAGCGGGUUUUACCAGAAGUAGGUAGCCUAACCGCAAGGAGGGCGCUUACCACGGUAGGAUUCGUGACUGGGGUGAAGUCGUAACAAGGUAGCCGUAUCGGAAGGUGCGGCUG
rnacentral:rRNA from 1 species